rnacentral:rRNA from 1 species
CCUACGGGGGGCAGCAGUAAGGAAUAUUGGACAAUGGGCGCAAGCCUGAUCCAGCCAUGCCGCGUGCAGGAUGACGGCCCUAUGGGUUGUAAACUGCUUUUAUACGGGAAAAAACCCCUCUACGUGUAGAGGGCUGAUGGUACCGUAAGAAUAAGGAUCGGCUAACUCCGUGCCAGCAGCCGCGGUAAUACGGAGGAUCCGAGCGUUAUCGGGUUUUAUGGGGUCGAAGGGGGAUUUAGAAGGAUGUGUAGAAGUCCUGCAGCUUAACUGUAGAACUGCCAUUGAUACUGCAAGUCUUGAGUACAGAUGAGGUGGGCGGAAUGUGUAGUGUAGCGGUGAAAUGCUUAGAUAUUACACAGAACACCAAUUGCGAAGGCAGCUCACAAAACUGUAACUGACGCUGAGGCACGAAAGCGUGGGGAGUGAACAGGAUUAGAUACCCCAGUAGUC